rnacentral:rRNA from 1 species
GUGAUUAAUUUAACGGCCGCGGUACACUAACCGUGCAAAGGUAGCAUAAUCAAUUGUCCUUUAAAUAGGGACUAGCAUGAACGGCACCACGAGGGUUUAACUGUCUCCCCAUUUUAAUCAAUGAAAUUAAUCUUCCCGUGAAGAAGCGGGAAUAAAAUUAUAAGACGAAAAGACCCUAUGAAGCUUUAAACUUAUUACCACUUAUCUUAACCAUAUAACAACUCACGAUAAGACUGUUUAAAUAGUUUUCGGUUGGGGCGACCCUGGAGAAAAGUAAAUCCUCCAGAUUGAAAAAGAAAUAACCCUUAUACAAGAACCACAAUUCAAAUAAACAAAAAUUUGACAAAACUGACCCAGAAUUUACUGAUCAGCGAACCAAGUUACUCUAGGG